rnacentral:pre_miRNA from 1 species
AUUAAAAUCAUUUUUCAGUUUUUUGAUACUAUAUUUUAACUCUUCGUCUUAUUUGAAACUUUUUUAUGAUUAAUAUUUUUAUUCUUACUAGAUGAUAAAACAUGAAUAGUACUUUAUGCGUGACUAAUUUUUUAAAGUUUUUAUACAAAUUAUUCAAAUAAGACGAAUGGUCAAACGUUGGACACGGAAAAAC